UACUCUGUUGUUCAGUUGCAUGGUUAGAGCGCAGCACCGGAAUCGCAGGGCCGUAGGUUCAAUUCCUACCAGAGGAC